rnacentral:rRNA from 1 species
ACCCGCUGAACUUAAGCAUAUCAAUAAGCGGAGGAAAAGAAACCAACAGGGAUUGCCCCAGUAACGGCGAGUGAAGCGGCAAGAGCUCAAAUUUGAAAGCUGGCUCCCUUCGGGGUCCGCAUUGUAAUUUGCAGAGGAUGCUUCGGGAGCGGUCCCCCAUCUAAGUGCCCUGGAACGGGACGUCAUAGAGGGUGAGAAUCCCGUAUGGGAUGGGGUGUCCGCGCCCGUGUGAAGCUCCUUCGACGAGUCGAGUUGUUUUGGGAAUGCAGCUCUAAAUUGGGUGGUAAAUUUCAUCUAAAGCUAAAUAUUGGCCGGAGACCGAUAGCGCACAAGUAGAGUGAUCGAAAGAUGAAAAGCACUUUGAAAAGAGAGUUAAAAAGCACGUGAAAUUGUUGAAAGGGAAGCGCUUGCGACCAGACUCGCUCGCGGGGUUCAGCCGGCAUUCGUGCCGGUGUAUUUCCCCGCGGGCGGGCCAGCGUCGGUUUGGGCGGUCGGUCAAAGGCCCUCGGAAGGUAACGCCCCUAGGGGCGUCUUAUAGCCGAGGGUGCAAUGCGACCUCCUAGACCGAGGAACGCGCUNGGCUCGGACGCGGCNANAANGGNNG